rnacentral:rRNA from 1 species
GGGAGCAAUCCCCGAGUAGAGCGGCGAACGGGUGAGUAACGCGUGGGUAAUCUGCCUCCGAGUGGGGAAUAACAGCGGGAAACUGCUGCUAAUACCGCAUGACAUCGUCGAGCCUUCGGGCCUGACGAUCAAAGCCGGGGACCGCAAGGCCUGGCGCUUGGAGAGGAGCCCGCGUCCGAUUAGCUAGUUGGCGGGGUAAUGGCCCACCAAGGCUCCGAUCGGUAGCCGGCCUGAGAGGGCGGACGGCCACACUGGGACUGAGACACGGCCCAGACUCCUACGGGAGGCAGCAGUGGGGAAUUUUUCGCAAUGGGGGAAACCCUGACGAAGCAACGCCGCGUGGAGGAUGAAGGCCUUCGGGUCGUAAACUCCUGUCGACCGGGACGAACGCUAUUGGGCCCAAUACGCCCGAUAGUCGACUGUACCGGUGGAGGAAGCCACGGCUAACUACGUGCCAGCAGCCGCGGUAAUACGUAGGUGGCAAGCGUUGUCCGGAUUUACUGGGCGUAAAGGAUGCGUAGGCGGACAUUUAAGUCAGAUGUGAAAUACCCGAGCUUAACUUGGGUGCUGCAUUUGAAACUGGGUGUCUAGAGUGCAGGAGAGGUAAGUGGAAUUCCUAGUGUAGCGGUGAAAUGCGUAGAGAUUAGGAAGAACACCAGUGGCGAAGGCGA